CGGGGCGUAGCGCAGUUUGGUAGCGCGCUUGGUUCGGGACCAAGAGGCCGCAGGUUCAAAUCCUGUCGCUCCGACCA
rnacentral:tRNA from 6 species